GGCCCCCAUGGCGCGGGGCACCUGAGUUCGGCGCGGCUUCGACCUGGGCGCUUGGAGCGCCGAGCCCCAUGGGUCACACCACGAGGGGCAC
rnacentral:tRNA from 1 species